rnacentral:rRNA from 1 species
GAUGACGCUGGCGCGUGCUAUACAUGCAGUAGAACGCUGAAGCUUGGUGCUUGCACCGAGCGGAUGAGUUGCGAACGGGUGAGUAACGCGAAGGUAACCUGCCUCUUAGCGGGGGAUAACUAUUGGAAACGAUAGCUAAUACCGCAUAAAAGUCGAUAUCGCAUGAUGUUGACUUGAAAGGUGCAAUUGCAUCACUAAGAGAUGGACCUGCGUUGUAUUAGCUAGUUGGUGAGAUAACGGCUCACCAAGGCGACGAUACAUAGCCGACCUGAGAGGGUGAUCGGCCACACUGGGACUGAGACACGGCCCAGACUCCUACGGGAGGCAGCAGUAGGGAAUCUUCGGCAAUGGACGGAAGUCUGACCGAGCAACGCCGCGUGAGUGAAGAAGGUUUUCGGAUCGUAAAGCUCUGUUGUAAGAGAAGAACGAGUGUGAGAGUGGAAAUGUGCACAUCUCAGACUGGUUACCACC